CUCAAGCUUUCCACCACAUCCACGCCCUGGACUCCUCUGGCAUUGUAAUUCUUUGACCAUGAUAGAAGUACACCCUGAACCCCAAGAAGAAACAACACGGACUCUGCAACAUGCCUGAAGAGCUGCAGGAGGAAUGUGUUAGCAUGGGAUAGCACCUUUUCACAUGAUGAUUCAGGGCUCCUGGCCUGAGACUCACAUCUGUGCCCCUGCCGUUGAUAAUCCCAUCAGGGAUGGGGUAGGUGUGGCUGUUCAUUUCCACCUUCCUCUUCCCAUCUUCUGACACCUUUACCUGCAGCACCUUGAGACUGGAGCUCCCAAGGUUGAGUGCCAGGAAGUCCCCUUUCUCUGAAGGAGUAAAUGCAGGGGCAAAAUCAUGGACAGGUAACAUACUCACACUAAACCCUAUGCCUGCUGACUGGUAUCCCCUGUAGCAGACUGGGCUCAGUUAGUGUUCAGUACCAAAGGACACACAGGACUCUGCUUAUACUGCACCUGAUCCAUCGGGGGUGGAGAGGACAUGAGUGGGCAGCAUCUUCACCGUGGCUGUCUCAUUGCUUUCAGCAGAUAGACCCUUCUCCAUUUCCGCCUGGAAAUGAGCUGAGAUGUCCUGGAGCUGUUCAUCGGAGAGACGCAUGGCAUCCAGGAAGCUGUCAACCUAGAUGGACAGACAGACACAGUAACAGCCAAUAAACAAGCCCACGGGCAAAGGAGAGGGUUGGAAGAUGCUGCCCUGCUCAUGACCUUGUAAAAGAAAAGCAGAAUCCCUAGGACAAAUCACUAUCGCCUAAAUUACUGAGACUCAUUGGGCAGACUCAUUGGAACAUGAACAAGGCAGGGUCCUUUAGCACACAAAGAGCAGGGAGGCACACCACUGGGGAUGCAACAGAAACUGGCUUAAGAAAUUAGGAGAGAACAAAAUCAAAAAUAUUUUUAUUCUGAUUCAUAUAGCCAUCAAUAGGCAAUGUUAAAAUGAUAUUUUUUUUUAUAACAGGAGAGCAAUUGCAUUGUAUUUUUCAGUAAUUUGUUGCAAGGAACUGUACUCCAGGAGGGUAAAGUCCUCACCAUUCAUUUUAUCCUGUGGUAAUCUAAUGUUAUGAAGUUAAUCAUUCCUGAUGCCACAUUGACUAAGAAAGGUCAAAGUUUUCAAUCUUUAAUGCUAUUGAACUUAUCUUGAGCACCUUUGUUCUAAGCCUUGGGUGUGUUUCAUUUUAAUUGUUGAGUUGCAUUGCCUCGUUCUGUAUGUGUUUAUCUACAGAGGGAUUUUCCUCAUUGACGUGGGAACCUAAAACUCUACAGCCACGGGGUACCACACUGGCAAUGGAAAAAGGAGCAGAAACUUCGAUAGAAAUAUUAUCCAAAUCCACCAUGUUCAUCCAGCUACCCUAUAUACCAUGCCAGCUCCCCCCUUCUCUUGUUCUCCCUCUCUUUCUGUCUGUCUCACACCCUCUCCCUCCUUUCUUAGUAAAUAAAUGUUAAUGGGUGUUGAAACACCCCCUCAGACAUUAUAACUAAUGAAUUGUUCAAUUAAUGUCAUUAUGUUUAGUAUAAUGUAAGAUGUAAUUUUAGACUACAACAUUUGGAGUUAUAUUAUAAAGCUUUCACAAUAGGCUUUGCUUUCACAAUAUGCUUUUUCAUUAUGACUUUGAUUCAAAUGAUUGCAAACUUGUCUUUGGAAGACAACAGUUCUGUCAGCAUGUUAAUUUUGCAAUCACUACAUUGAGCAAAAACAAAUAUUCAGACACUAUCUAAAAGAUUCUGAAACUUCCCCCAUCUGCCAGAAAGCCAAUCCACUCGACAGCAAUUAAACAAAAAAGAGAGACAGUAAAGCAAUGUGUAAGUGUGUAUGAUGCAUAUAGUGCCAAAAACCACAAGAAAAAUCAAAUUGCAAAAUGAAUUUCGGAAAAAUUAAAG